rnacentral:rRNA from 1 species
CUACGGGGUGCUGCAGUGGGGAAUUUUGCGCAAUGGGGGCAACCCUGACGCAGCGAUACCGCGUGAGUGAAGAAGGCCUUUGGGUCGUAAAGCUCUUUUCUAAGGGAAGAUAGUGACGGUACCUUAGGAAUAAGCGCCGGCUAACUCCGUGCCAGCAGCCGCGGUAAUACGGAGGGCGCGAGCGUUGUUCGGAUUUACUGGGCGUAAAGGGCGCGUAGGCGGCUUGGCAAGUUAAGGGUGAAAUCCCGGGGCUCAACCCCGGAACUGCUCUUAAAACUGCCAAGCUAGAGAUGGUCAGAGGCGGGUGGAAUUCCAGGUGUAGAGGUGAAAUUCGUAGAUAUCUGGAGGAACACCGGUGGCGAAGGCGGCCCGCUGGGGCCAUUCUGACGCUGAGGCGCGAAAGCGUGGGGAGCGAACGGGAUUAGAUACCCGGGUAGUC